UACGAAGGGGGCUAGCGUUGCUCGGAAUCAUUGGGCGUAAAGCGCGCGUAGGUGGCCCCAUAAGUCCGCUGUGAAAGUCAAAGGCUCAACCUUUGAAAGCCGGUGGAUACUGUGGGACUAGAGUACGGAAGAGGCGAGUGGAAUUCCUGGUGUAGCGGUGGAAUGCGCAGAUAUCAGGAGGAACACCAAUAGCGAAGGCAGCUCGCUGGGACGUUACUGACACUGAGGCGCGAAAGCGUGGGGAGCGAACAGG
rnacentral:rRNA from 1 species